rnacentral:rRNA from 1 species
GAUGAACGCUAGCGGCAGGCCUAACACAUGCAAGUCGAGGGGUAGCAGGAUUAAGCCUGCUUAAUUGCUGACGACCGGCGCACGGGUGCGUAACGCGUAUGCAACCUACCUUAUACUGGGGUAUAGCCCGGAGAAAUUCGGAUUAAUCCCCCAUAGUACUAAUGAAUCGCAUGGUUUAUUAGUUAAAGCAUUGCGGUAUAAGAUGGGCAUGCGUCCUAUUAGCUAGAUGGUGAGGUAACGGCUCACCAUGGCUACGAUAGGUAGGGGGCCUGAGAGGGAGGUCCCCCACACUGGAACUGAGACAGGGACCAGACUCCUACGGGAGGCAGCAGUGAGGAAUAUUGGUCAAUGGGCGCAAGCCUGAACCAGCCAUGCCGCGUGCAGGAAGAAUGCCCUAUGGGUUGUAAACUGCUUUUAUUUGGGAAUAAACCUCUUUACGUGUAGAGAGCUGAAGGUACCAAAUGAAUAAGCACCGGCUAACUCCGUGCCAGCCGCCGCAGUAA